rnacentral:rRNA from 1 species
GAUGAACGCUGGCGGCGUGCCUAAUACAUGCAAGUCGAGCGAACAGACGAGGAGCUUUCUCCUCUGACGGUAGCGGCGGACGGGUGAGUAGCACGUGGAUAACCUACAUAUAAGACUGGGAUAACGGCGUGAAACCGGCGCUAAUACCGUACAAUAUAUUGAACCUCAUGGUUCAAUAAUUGAAGACGGUUUUGCUGUCACGUAUAGAUGGUUCCGCGCCGCAUUAGCUAGUUGGUAAGGUAACGGCUUACUAAGGCUACGAUGCGUAGGCGACAUGAGAGGGUGAACGGCCAGCCUGGAACUGAGACACGGUCCAGACUCCUGAGGGAGGCAGCAGUCGGGAAUCUUACGCAAUGGGGGAAAGACUAACGGAGCAAAGCCGCGUGAGUGAUGAAGGUCUUCUGAUCGUAAAACUAUGUUAUUAGGGAAGAACAAAUGUGUAAGUAACUAUGAACGUCUUGACGGUAACUAAUCAGAAAGCCACGGCUAACUACGUG